rnacentral:rRNA from 1 species
AGUAACACGUGGAUAACCUACCUAUAAGACUGGGAUAACUUCGGGAAACCGGAGCUAAUACAGGAUAAUAUUUUGAACCGCAUGGUUCAAAAGUGAAAGACGGUCUUGCUGUCACUUAUAGAUGGAUCCGCGCUGCAUUAGCUAGUUGGUAAGGUAACGGCUUACCAAGGCAACGAUGCAUAGCCGACCUGAGAGGGUGAUCGGCCACACUGGAACUGAGACACGGUCCAGACUCCUACGGGAGGCAGCAGCC